CUUGUUAGAUCAUGAUAAAAAAAAAAAAUGUAAUCAAAUGCGCUAUUUUACCUACUCUAUUUAUAAUAAAAAUCAUACAGAACAUAUUAAAUUGCUGUAUAUAUCAUCUGUACAUCCAAUGUAUCCAGAUAAGUUAAUAAAUAAUGAUACGUGUAAAGAUUUUUUAAAAUGUGAAUACUAUAAUGAAAAAAACAAAUGUUUUAUCUGGAGUGAUCAAAUAAAAAGUACAGGUGAUUCAUCUGAAGUCUAUGAUAAAUUAAAUCAAGUUCCAAAUUUGAAUGUUAUACAUAUAGAUACAAAUAUACCUAUAUGUAUAGCAUUCAAUGAGUAUACAGAAGUGUAUCAUUUUUUUUAUAUUGAUUUUGAUAUGAAAAAAAAGCAUGGAUGUGUUAGCCCAUUGAAUGGAUACAUCGUAUUAUACAGCUUGUUGUGUAUACCAAAAAAUAAAUUUACAGUUUGUAAUACAUCAUAUACAAAUAUUAAUUUUAAUACAGAGGUUUAUAAACCAAUAGUAAUGUUAACUACCGGAGGUAAUAUACCAUUGUAUAAGAAGAUUAAGUUGUGCGUAUAUGAUAAUAUUAAUAAUAUUAUAUUUAUCAUACCAGUAUACGACAAGCGGGUAAAAGAAAAAAUUAAAGUAAUUAAAAAUGUAUUAAAUUAUAUAGGUGUCAGUAUAUCGAAAGAAAUGACAAUUUUAAGAUAUUACCCUCUUAAUAUAAUUUCUUGCACAAAUAAUGAAAUUAACACAAGUUAUUUAAAAAUACGACACAAAAAUAUGGAUAUUAAUAGUAUUUCAAAAAAUGUGUGUACAUCCGAUGUUAAUACGAACAAUUUGAAAGAUAUAAUAAUUAAAAAACAAAGUAUAUUAAAAAAGAAAAGUGAUAUGUGUAGUUUUUAUAGAAAGAAGAUUAAAAAUAUAGCAAUGGAUAAUAUCAAUACUAGUUCUGACUGCAUGGAAACAUGUAACAUUCUCGAUAUAAACAAAUUAAAUAAUUUCAUAAUAAUUUUACACAAAAGUGGGCAAUUAUAUUUACUUUCAGAAAAUAAGUACAUUUCCAAUCUUUACUUAUAUAAUAAUAAUGAAAAUGUAUGUAAUAUAUACAACUCUAAUUUUUGUUAUGCUACAAUAGAUACUAUAAACUAUGAAUCUAAUAAAAUACAGUUAAACACCUAUAGAGUUUUUUUUGAUAUACUACCAAAAAGUACUACACUCAAAAUAAUUUUUAUUUUUUUUUAUUACUAUAUUUGUAAAAAAAUAACACAUGAUUUUUUUAGCUUUAUUCUACAUGAAUGUAAAAAAGAAGAACGUAACAGCAUUUUUAGCAUUAUUAACAUAGAUAUAUAUUUUUUUAAGCAUCUAAAUAAUCAAUCGGGUGAAAUAGGGGGUAAUAUCAAUAGUGAAAAUACAGGUAAGAUAAUAUACAACAGCCAAAAUAACAGCCAAAAUAACAACAACAAAAAUAACAGCCAAAAUAACAGCCAAAAUAACAGCCAAAAUAACAACAACAAAAAUAACGGCGUCAGUAAUAAUAAUAGUGUCCAUGAUAAAACAUUCACCAUAUAUGACCAAACACAACUUCAUUUACUUAACACUAAUUUCAUGUGUACAGAAAAUAUUAUGCACACAGAAUUUUGUAAAUUUCUGUAUCUAUUUAUCUUGGUAUCAGUUGAUGACAUAAACAUGUAUAUGGAUUUAGAAAAGUUAAUAUAUAUUGAAAAUACCAGUUAUGAAACAAAUACGUAUGAUAUAACAUCAGCCAAAUAUAAUCAUUCAAAAUUUAGUGGUUUAUCAUUUAACUAUAAAAUUGAACCAUGUGUUUAUAAAAAGAAGACGAUUAGUUCUAAUUCAUACGAGCAUAUUCCAACAAUGUACAAAGGAAAUAAAAAAAAUUUCAUAUCAAAUAAUAAUGAUAAAAGUAAACGUUAUUACAAACAAAUAGAAAAUUAUAUAAAAUAUCUACAUAAGAAAUAUAUAAAUAUAUAUAAAAAUAGAGACCUUUUAUUAUACUAUUUACAUGUGUAUUAUGAUGAAAUAGAAUUAUAUGAGUAUAUACAUAUAGAUGUAAAGGUAAAUAUAAUCAUAUUAAUUAUAAUAUUAGCAUAUUGUAUAAAUAUGAAUAAUUUUUCAUUUCACUAUAUAAAUAAACUAAACAGCUUAUCAGGAACAAAAUGGAUAGAACCAUUAUACAGACAUAUAUGCAAAAAAUAUCAUAAAGAGAUGCAAUUAAAAAACUAUACAUGUGUGAGUGGCAGUGAGAAUAAUUCCUCUCAAAGUUAUAAUUCUAGUAAUAAUAGCUUUUUUUAUAAACCUAACAAUCAUUCUAACAAGUUUGACAAAUAUGGAUUUAUAAAUAGCCAUUUAAGAAAAAGAUUAAAAGGAAUAACAGAUAUACCCAACACGUUAGACAUAGUACGUCAUUUAGUGAGCUGUAAGGAAAAUAAUGAGGAAGAAUAUGAAAAUAAAAUUAAAGAAUAUAUAAAUAGAUAUUUAUCUUCAUAUUAUUUGAUAGGCACUUUGAAUGAAGUGAAUUUGAAGUAUGAAUGUUAUACAAAAGAAAUGCAAAAAAUUUUUAAUACUAGAAUAAAACAGAAAUCGGAGAUGAGCCAUGACAACACAUGUACAAACAGUAUAAAUGUUUCUGAAAGUAGUAACAACAGUUAUGUUAACACAAGUGACAGUGAGAGCUAUUACAAUAAUGAUUAUAAAACCUCUACUUAUACGAAUUUUAUCACAUUUAAAAAUUCAGUUUUUUCAAAUGACCAUUUAAAAUUUAUAUAUUACUUUAAUACAAUGUUUUUCCCAAUAAAAAAUAUGGUAAUCACAUCUAUUGUGAAUAUUUUGAAUAUAAACAGAAAAACAAAUAUAAAAAAAAUAUUAUACGAAACAUUGUAUAGAAAUAUAAUUAAAAAUGAAUUGGAUAUACUUUAUGUUCCUCGUUUUAAUAUAACAUUUAGGAACAAUACAAGAGAAAAUGGUGUUUGUAUUUUGAAUGGAGCUAAAUAUAUUGAAAAUGUUUGUGUAAAUACUAUAAAACAAGCACCAUACAAUGUUACAAAAAUUAUAGCAAAUGAUGAAGGAGUUACUAAUAAACACAUUCAUUUAUGUGAUACGUAUUUGAAUAUUGAUUAUACUAAACCUAUGCAUUCUUAUGAUAGUCACACUCAUGAUACGAAAAACCAAAACAGAUAUAUAAAAAAACAUAACAAUAACCUUUACAAACAUAAUAAUUAUUCGUAUUAUAAUACCAACAAAGAGAAUGUAUGUAUAACCCAUAAAAGUUUUUUUGUGGAAACAAAUAGAGACCUACUAUAUUAUGAUAAAAAAAGUUCUAUGUUUAAGUCGAAUCUGAAAUACUUUGAAUCAUUAAAUAUGAAUAAUGGCCAUUUAUUUAAUAUACUAUUAAAAAGUGUUUUCCAUAUAAAUAUACAUGGUAUGAAUGAAUGUUAUUCUUUUAUGCUGAAUACAAUAAUGCAUAACAUGCAUCAAUUAUUAAAUCAUAAUGAACAAAAAAUAGUAAAAAAAGACGAAAUAGAUGUAAAACAUUUUGAACAUUUUAUUCAAAAUUAUUUUGAUGAUAAAAAACUAACAAAGAAAAAAGAACAAGAAUUUUUAAAAAACAAAAAUAAACAUUUUUUUAACAUGAGUGUGGAAGAUAUAACAAAAAACAUGAAAUAUGAUAACUUCCUGAUGAACACUAAUAUGGAGAUGCCAACUACUCAUAAGAUAAGAAGUUUACAAGAUAAGGUAAAAGGUGGCACUACAUAUAACAGUAUAUGUAACAUUGUAGGCAACACAAACGAACGAAUAGAAACCCAUGCAAAAUCAACUAUCCAAACAAAUCAAUUGGGUCAUAACAAAAAUGAUACUGUUGUCAAUACCCUUAAAUCGAUUGACAUUUACAAAUUGUGCAACUUCAAAGAUAAUUCAGCUUAUAUAAGUAUAAACAGAGAAGAUCUUUAUUUAAAUAAGCUUUUCAAUUCGCAUAAUUUAAAAAUAAAAAAAAAGUUUAAUUGUAUAUUAAAAUUUUUAUCUAAAAGUAACGAUAACAUGAUUAUUAAUUGUAUAAUGGAACAAUUUAUGUACAACGAAAAAAUGAAAAAAAUAAUAGAAGAUAAAGAAAAAAAAAAUAAAGAAAGACGAAAUGUUUUAACAGACCAUAGUACUGAACAUAACAACCGUAACCAUGACAGUCGUAACGUUGAUAGAAGUGUAAGUGACAUAAAUGACGAUGAUAGAAGUGACGAUAGCUAUGUUGAAAUGUUUGGUUUUAGUCUAGGAACUAAAAAAUACAAUAAAACAGACUCAUUGGAGAAACAAAAACGUCAUUUUGAACAUAGUUAUGUAUCUGACUACAAACAAAUAAAAGAACACUUCAUGUGGUUCGAUUCUCUCAAAAUGGAUACAUGUACAUAUUCUUAUUCUGUUUAUGAGAAACACCCUUUUUUAUUUCAUAUAAGGAGACUGUAUUAUUGUGGCAUAUCAAAGUUUUAUAAAAAAAAAAAAAAAAAUGCGUUAAAAAGUAAAAACGGGAAUAUCGCGUCUUUUGGAAAUCGUCAAGAUGUUAAUAACAUGAUCAAUAACAUUGAACACAGUGGAAACAGCAGCGAUGGUAGUAGUAUAUUUUUUAACAGCCCAAAUCUUAGCAGCGUCAAUCAAGACGAUAGUAACGAUAGCAAUAACGAUUAUAGUUCUAAUGAAAAAAAACUGAUUGACGUAGCUGAUAUAGAAAUCUCUUCAGACAGUCAAGAAAGCGUAUAUAUUCAUAAACAUAAAUUUAAUAAAAAUAUUUUUAAUAAAUAUACAAAAUAUAUUAUGAAACUAUCUAAUUUAAACAAAAUAAUGAAACGAAAAAUCUUAAUUGAUACAAAAAAAAGUGAUGAAAAAAUAGAUACGUACUUAAAUUUUAUACAUUUGUUUUAUACUUUAGAAAAAAUGUACAAAAUGAAAUAUAAUUCGAUGUUUAAUAUAAGUUCUUUGAACUGCUGUGAAAUCAUUAACUCAAUACAUUAUAAAGCAGAUAUUAAUUUUAUGAUUGAAUAUUCUAUAUUUGUUUAUGAGUUGGAUUGUGAACAAAAUAAGGCAAAUUAUAGUUCUAGUGCUACACCUAUCCAAACGAAUGCAAAUCCUCCUAGCAGUAUGAUAUCUCGUGAAUAUAACAGAGACAAUAAUUAUGGGCAAACUUCUUUUCACAUAGGGAGAUUUAAUAGUGAAAACAAUACAAAUGAUGGUGUUGGUACAAAUGGAAAUGUACAUAAUAAUACUAACACAAACGGUAACAUAAAUGAUUAUACCUCUUACAGCAGUAGAAUAAAUGUAUACAAUGACACUGGAAAUAAUGCAUAUAAUAAUAAUCGUAGUAUGGCUAUUCAAAGAAGAUUCAAUAAUAAUAGUCCGCUCAUGAAUAAUGAUUUAUCUCGCAGAAACACUAAUAACAGGAAUAAUACAUUUAUUUUAAAUACUAAUGAACCACAAAAUAAUAGUACAAAUUAUAAUUAUAAUCGUUAUCAUAGCAAUCAUAAUCAACCGAUAGACACAGAUUUUAUUCAUGAGGAAUCAGGCGUUGCUAUGUUGAGAAGGAGUAUAAUCAGCCGCAGAGAUUUUUCAAAUCUUUUGAUAGGCCAUAACUUCAACGUAAAUGGACGCACUGAAAAUAUCACCCCAAAUAACAUAUUUCAUAGUGACGACGAAAACAGGAUUUCCACUAUAAAUACAGUAAAUGCUACGAACUUUAUGUCAUAUGGAUCACAAAAUUAUAAUAGGAUUAACCGUAUAAAUAAUAACGAAAUGAAUAGAAACGUUCUGGUAAACGACAAUUCUUCUCAAAUUGAAGAAAAUGAUACAAGUACAAACAUACACAUCAAUAACAGAAGCGAUAGUAACAACAACAUACAAACACAACGACAAAACAACAAUACGUUAAGGUUUACAGAUGAAAGAACCGAUUCCCAUAAUAUACUAUCUAGAUCUAACAAUAAUAUAACAUAUAGGCCAGCGAGCAUGUUACUUAUAAAUAAUAAUUUAUUAAACACAAGAGCCAAUUUGAUGGAUCCGCUUAGACGGGCAAGGCCAUCUGCAACUUUGAAUAAGUAUAAGCGUGUGAAAAAUACAUCGGAAAUAAAUAAAAAGAAGUAUAAUACAUCAAACAAAAUAAAAAAAUAUAUAAAAAAAUUAAAAAGUAAAAUAGCUAAAUUAAUAAAUACUGAAAAUAUUAAUAUAUAUAUGCAUCCAAUGAAAAAUAUAUUUUUAUUGAAUAAAUAUAAUGAUAAAAUCAAAGCGUGUAAACGAAUAUUGAGAUCGUAUAAUACUGUAGAAAAAAAUGUAUUAGGUACAAGAGUAAGUAUGCAAAUAACGUCACGUUCAAACAGUUUUAACUUAGAACAAAACAAUAAUAAUUUAUCACCAACUGAUGAAAAUGUUGUUCAAAAUGAUUCAUUACAUAGGGAUUUAAAUGAUAAUAUAAGUGAUGUGGUGGAUGUUGAAAAUCAGGUGGACAGUGAAAAUCAGGAGGACGAUGAAAAUCAGGAGGACGAUGAAAAUCAGGUGGACGGUGAAAAUCAGGAGGACGAUGAAAAUCAGGAGGACGGUGAAANNNNNNNNNNACGAUGAAAAUCAGGAGGACGGUGAAAAUCAGGAGGACGAUGAAAAUACGGAAGACGAUGAAAAUCAGAUGGAUGGUGAAAAUCAGGUGUACGGGCUUAGCGACACAACUAGUUCGUUUAUGUUUAGCGAAGAUGGGUAUAAUAGCGAUGACACUUUAUGU
rnacentral:lncRNA from 1 species